UACGUAGGGUGCGAGCGUUAAUCGGAAUUACUGGGCGUAAAGCGUGCGCAGGCGGUUUGUUGUGUCUGAUGUGAAAGCCCCGGGCUUAACCGUGGAAGUGCAUGGGAAACUGGAAAGCUUGAGUACUUAAGAGGAUCGCGGAAUUCCCGGUGUAGAGGUGAAAUUCGUAGAUAUCGGGAGGAACACCAGUGGCGAAGGCGGCGAUCUGGGAAGAUACUGACGCUGAGGUGCGAAAGCGUGGGGAGCAAACAGG
rnacentral:rRNA from 1 species